GAUGAACGCUAGCGGGAGGCUUAACACAUGCAAGUCGAGGGGCAGCACGAGGUAGCAAUACUUUGGUGGCGACCGGCGCACGGGUGAGUAACGCGUAUGCAACCUACCCUGUACAGGGGGAUAACCCGGAGAAAUUCGGACUAAUACCCCAUAAAGAUAUUUGGAGGCAUCUUUGAAUAUUUAAAGUUCCGGCGGUACGGGAUGGGCAUGCGUGACAUUAGCUAGUUGGUAGGGUAACGGCCUACCAAGGCUUCGAUGUCUAGGGGUCCUGAGAGGGUGAUCCCCCACACUGGUACCGAGACACGGACCAGACUCCUACGGGAGGCAGCAGUGAGGAAUAUUGGUCAAUGGGCGCAAGCCUGAACCAGCCAUCCCGCGUGAAGGAAGAAGGCGCUAUGCGUUGUAAACUUCUUUUCCAGGGGAAGAAAACCAGAUACGAGUAUCGGCUUGCCGGUACCCUGGGAAUAAGCAUCGGCUAACUCCGUGCCAGCCGCCGCGGUAAGAC
rnacentral:rRNA from 1 species